rnacentral:lncRNA from 1 species
AUGAAUGUAGGUAUCUCUUUCCCAACUCCAUUGGUUCUUAUAGAUCAUGUUCCCAAACCAGUCUUGGAUGUCACAUCUCUCUUCAACACAAAUGUGGGACUCUGUGACGUCACAGUGAACUGUUCUGUUAAAGAUGGCUGGAUGUUGUCUGUCUGUGGCUGGGGACAGUGUACACUGUCACAACAGUUAAUGUCUCUGUCUGAGGUCAACAUCAUCAUCUCCAAUGGGAACGGGACUAUCCAAUGCUCCAGCAGCAACUACGUCAGCACACAGACCAUCUAUCAACCCAUGAAGGACUGUAUUGGUGAGAAGGAAGCCAAAGCUUCAGCAUUAUCAGUCAGGACCAUUGCGGCCAAUAUUGUUCGAUCAGUGAUUGUCUGUGUUGGAUUGGCUGUCACCAUAAUGGCCAUUAACAAGAUCAGCAGAUGGAUAUCCUCAAAAGAAGAUGACUCAACUCAGGUACUUCCUGUGAAAUGGCUUUUUUUCAUUUUAUUGUUUUACUUUGUAAGCUUUGUUGAAUGAAGAUUUGAUGUUAUUGUAAUGUCUCAUCUUUAGGAAGUCAUCGUUGAAGUCGCUGACACCACAGUGAAUGUUUCAGCAGAGGUGAGGCCAGAACCACUGGGCCCUCCUGAGGUAAAAAAACACUUUACAGAAAUGUGCAGAAACCAGGACAGCAACACUGAAUGGACUACACCCAGACCAGCAUUUUGUAUGAUAAGACUGUAAUACCACGGGACAAAUAUUGAACACAUUUAAAUUAGUAUUAUCUGCAGUGUAUAUUUGCUUAAAGGGAGAGCCGUGUCGGGUCAACUUCCACAACAACUAAGAGCAUUGAAGCAUGAGGCUAAACUCUGCAUGUUUUGAUGUGAAGCACACCCUACACAUGAACAUAUACUCUGCGAGUACAAUGUCUUGCUCUGCGCUUAUCUACAAAUUCUGUGGUUCAUUCUGCUGGUCGUGGCAACGUCAUAUCGCUAUGUCUCAGUUUAACGCAACUAGUGUUUUGGAAUAUUGAAUAUCACACUUCGGUUGUGUUUUUGGAAUGCUGAAUGUCACAUUUGUGUUUUUGGAAUGGUGAAUGUCAAACUUAAGUUCUUGUUUUUACCCCCAAAAAUGAAUAAAUGAUGAAUUGAAUCAAUGAACUGAAAUAAAUGAUUAAUUGAACCAUCACUGUUCAAAUUCAAUAUUACACAGUCAAUACAAUGCCUUGUGGAAUUGCUCCACAUCCUGUCUAAUUAAAAAUAGUACCGGUUUCUGAACUUGACCUUGUGGUUAAGGCUGCUGCCUUGGUUUAUGUAGAUUUUCCCUGCCUGUGUUGGUACGAGUCCUGGCACCUACCGGACCUACUCUGUACCUCCUUCUCUCGGUCUCCCCUUCAUUUUAUAUGUGUCUCUGUCAUUGAAAAACAUUAAAAUACUUUCUGUAAAAUACAGGAGAGUUGUAACGGCAUUCUUCCUCCUCUUCUGAGGAGGAGCAGCGAGAAGGAUCGGAGGACCAAUGCGCAGCGUGGUAAGUGUCCAUAACGUUUAUUUUAAGACAAACGGAACACUAUGAAAUACAAAACAAUAAACGUGAACAUGAACGAAACCGAAACGGUACCGUGUGGCCACAAACACUCACACGGAAACAAACCACUCAAAAGUGAAACCCAGGCUACCUAAGUAUGGUUCUCAAUCAGAGACAACUAACGACACCUGCCUCUGAUUGAGAACCAUACUAGGCUGAACUCAAAACCACAACAUAGAAAAACACACAGACUGCCCACCCCAACUCACGCCCUGACCAUACUAAAUAAAGACAAAACAAAGGAAAUAAUGGCCAGAACGUGCCAAGAGUCCAAUAAAUGAAUAGUGCCUAGCAGCUGUGCCUAGAGGAAAAGCUAAAUGACUUGAUCACUUUCAAUGUACUUGUAGCUACAUAACAUUUACAAAAUAUACAUAGAAAUAUAUGUCAUUUCUUACUACUCAUACUUUACAAUAGUUUACACAAACUUGAACACACACAAACAUAUUUCAUACAAUGCAAUUGAUGUUUUUCUCCAUCUAUUGGUUAAUUCUAUAACUACAGUGCCUUGCGAAAGUAUUCGGCCCCCUUGAACUUUGCGACCUUUUGCCACAUUUCAGGCUUCAAACAUAAAGAUAUAAAAGUGUAUUUUUUUGUGAAGAAUCAACAACAAGUGGGACACAAUCAUGAAGUGGAACGACAUUUAUUGGAUAUUUCAAACUUUUUUAACAAAUCAAAAACUGAAAAAUUGGGAGUGCAAAAUUAUUCAGCCCCUUUACUUUCAGUGCAGCAAACUCUCUCCAGAAGUUCAGUGAGGAUCUCUGAAUGAUCCAAUGUUGACCUAAAUGACUAAUGAUGAUAAAUACAAUCCACCUGUGUGUAAUCAAGUCUCCGUAUAAAUGCACCUGCACUGUGAUAGUCUCAGAGGUCCGUUAAAAGCGCAGAGAGCAUCAUGAAGAACAAGGAACACACAAGGCAGGUCCGAGAUACUGUUGUGAAGAAGUUUAAAGCCGGAUUUGGAUACAAAAAGAUUUCCCAAGCUUUAAACAUCCCAAGGAGCACUGUGCAAGCGAUAAUAUUGAAAUGGAAGGAGUAUCAGACCACUACCAAGACCUGGCCGUCCCUCUAAACUUUCAGCUCAUAUAAGGAGAAGACUGAUCAAAGAUGCAGCCAAGAGGCCCAUGAUCACUCUGGAUGAACUGCAGAGAUCUACAGCUGAGGUGGGAGACUCUGUCCAUAGGACAACAAUCAGUCGUAUAUUGCACAAAUCUGGCCUUUAUGGAAGAGUGGCAAGAAGAAAGCCAUUUCUUAAAGAUAUCCAUAAAAAGUGUAGUUUAAAGUUUGCCACAAGCCACCUGGGAGACAAAACAAACAUGUGAAAGAAGGUGCUCUGGUCAGAUAAAACCAAAAUGGAACUUAUUGGCAACAAUGCAAAACGUUAUGUUUGGCGUAAAAGCAACACAGCUGAACACACCAUCCCCACUGUCAAACAUGGUGGUGGCAGCAUCAUGGUUUGGGCCUGCUUUCUGCUGUUCACAAAUGCUCUCCAUCCAACCUCACUGAGCUCGAGCUGUUUUGCAAGGAGGAAUGGGAAAAAAUGUCAGUCUCUCGAUGUGCAAAACUGAUAGAGACAUACCCCAAGCGACUUACAGCUGUAAUCGCAGCAAAAGGUGGCGCUACAAAGUAUUAACUUAAGGGGGCUGAAUAAUUUUGCCCGACCAAUUUAUCAGUUUUUGAUUUGUUAAAAAAGUUUGAAAUAUCCAAUAAAUGUCGUUCCACUUCAUGAUUGUGUCCCACUUGUUGUUGAUUCUUCACACAAAAAUACAGUUUUAUAUCUUUAUGUUUGAAGCCUGAAAUGUGGCAAAAGGUCGCAAAGUUCAAGGGGGCCGAAUACUUUCGCAAGGCACUGUGUAUAUAUACAUUUUCAUAUUCCAUUUCAUGGAAGUUUCUUUAUCCAUGAAAUGAAGUGGGUGGAGAACAAACCCCUCUUCACAUUGUUACAGAUAGAAUUGAACCAUUAUUUUGAAAUGAUCAGUAAAAGUGGAAAUACAAAAAAGCAAUAUGUAUCAUAAAAUGUUUUGACAAACUGAAAAUGUAUCUUGACAUGUAGUACCCGUCUGUUAGUUCUUCUCACUGGUGGAUUUGGUGGUAUCCUGUAUAGCUUCCUGCAUUUACUCCCAGCAAGCACAAAACCCUUCAUAGAGUUGGUCCAUACUGACUGUCUCUGUCAUUUUGAGGGAAAACACCUGCUCCAGAUCAGUGAAGGAGAGGUUUUGUUGCAUGUUUAUCCAUAUUUCGUUGAUAUGCCAAACCGAGAGAACAACAACAGAAAUUACUUUGCAGGAAUUGGCGUGUUUACUGUGAUUUGAUGAAUAUACGGGACAAGGGAGGUCCCGUAUGGGACAAACCAAUUUAGCCCAAUAUAAGAGCCAUCCCGGCUAAUACGGGACAGUUGGCAACCCUAUUUGACGUUUUCAAAUUAAACUCUCAUUUAACGUGUGAAAUAGUGUUAUUUGACGCGUGUAUUUUUUUGACCCGCAAAGACUCAAACUGGGUUCCAUUCUGUAAAGCCUCGUUCACAUCAAAUCCAUUUGUUUUGCACAUCCAAUUCAAAACGUAUUUUUUCCUGCAGUCUGAACAGUCAAAUAGCACAUGGAAUAGGAUAUUUUAAGCUGCCUUCCUGGUGGUUUGAAGUCAGAUACAAAUAGGAUUACUGGCCAUGUGACUUGUUGAAUGGUCAAAUCUGAAGUGUACUUUUGUAUAUUAUCUACCUCACUUGCUUUGGCAAUGUUAACAUGUGUUUCCCAUGUCAAUAAAGCCCCUUGAAUUGAGACAAAAAGUGAGUAAAAAACACACAAAAAAUGUUCAGAACUACAAAUGAACUUUCUUCUGUCGAUUUUGGGUUGUAUAAUGUCACAAUUCCAACCCUCCUCCUUGAUCCGGGCUUGGGACCGGCAAAAGUGACCCGAAAGAGACACUGGCGGAGUUAGUUUUUUUUAUUGGAUUAUUUACUUUAUAUUUUUAGUUUAGUUUUAUACAUUUACAUCCCGCACUGAAUGUAAACCAGGGCGGAAAUCAGUUCCGGCGGCUUCGCGCAUGCGCGAUUCAUUUUCAGUCUGGACGCGGAGGGGUGAACAUCUCCUCUGACUGCUGCGAGAGGACUGGGCCGCAUGUGAGUGCUUUGGGACGGUGUGGGGCCCACGGCAGCACCCGCUGCUCGUUGAGAAGAGUAAGAACGAUACGUGCUUUCACGUCAGUCUCCAAUAACACCAGAAAAAGUCGCUAGAUUUGUCGCUAGUCGCUUUUUUGAAAAAGUCUCGCUAGAGGGGUCUGAAUACUCGCUAAAUAUAGCGACAAAGUCGCUAAGUUGGCAACACUGCCCACAUUAGCUAAACAUGAAUAUACUAUAACCACAUUUCAUAUGCGUGUAUUACUAGCACAGAUGUAAACAUAAUCAGAUAAGAGAGAUCGGUUCCCAAUUUAGCCUUAACAUUAAGGUCUAACGUUAACUUACACAGCGACAACUGCCUUGUUCAGGGGCAGAACGACAGAUGUUUACCUUGUCAGCCCGGGGAUUUGAUGUCGUUUACCGGCCCAACGCUGUAACCCACAUAUGUCAGAGUCAAGGCCCGCGGGCAAGAAGGUUUUUUACGGCCCCUGGGAUGAUCUUGAUUUAUUAUUAGAACCGGCCCGCAGCAAGCCGGCAGCCCGCAGAUCUUUUACACGCACCAAUACUACAUUUCCCACAAUGCAAAGGUGACGCACCGAGCAGUAGGCUGCUUCAUUUCAAUAUUUAUUGGCACAGCAGUCGUCAGCAUCACAGUAAAAUUAA